GUAAAUAUUCUCAUAGCAACUAGAAUUGAAUAGACAGGUUGCUAAGUUUUCUUCAGUCUACAUGUUUUUUUCAAAUAUUUAUGUAGAGGGUUUGAAAACCCUAGUUCUUUUUGUGAAACAUAUACCAACCUGCUGCAUGACUGUUCACCUGCACCGAGCAUAUAUAACAACUUUCAUGCAUAAAGAAGAGUCCUUCCGACCACACGUGGAUGUCCUGAGUGGUCCUCAUCUUUGCGUUAACAUGUUUUAUAAGCGAAUUCUUAAGGGCAUGUUUGCAUGCCCAUGGAUCCGCCACAAUCCAUGUGUGUUGGAGUGAAUUGGUAUGGAAACUCACCCCAACACACAUGGAUUGAGGUGGAUACAUGUGCAUUCAAACAAGGCCUAAUAUGAUUUAUCCUCUCGAGCUUCUGUCUUAAACUCAGCCUAAUCAUUCAAAGUAUGUGCCUUGAACAUUGUAUGGUGGGCAAACAUUGAAACAAACAAUAUGCUAGUAUGUGGAAAUAUCAUAUCCAAUGCCUUCUUUUGCAGAACAUAUUUUCCAAGCCUCAACAGCAGAACAAUCCAUCAUCCAGAAGAGAGGAAAAAAAGAACAGGAAGACAGUCAACCAGAGGUGCAAAAUGUUACCGUAAAUGUCCGCAACAGCUUCGAUGGCCUUCUGCUUGAUCUUGUCAUCUGUCAUGGUUGGAACCCUGACCACCACCUUCUGCUGCUGCGGAACCGAUGAAGCGACAUACAGAGCUAUGAGCAAACAAAUGUGCUGAGCUACCGAAGAACCAAACCAAGAGGGAGAAUUGUGCGUACCUGAGCCAUCUCGAAGCUUUGGACAAAGGAGUGGACGAGAGGAGAGGAGGGGAGAGAGAGGCAGAGAAGCUAUGCUCGAGAAUGCCCUGCGAUGGGUUUGUGUGCAUACAAGGAGAAGAAACCAAAGCUAAUGCUGCUGGUGGAUUCCUUUAUAUAAAGGCGCGAGUGCACUUGGCCGUCUGUUCUUGGUGCUGAGUAGCCGGAUAGGCCGAGGGAGGGACUGUUCUGGUUGGCACUGCAGGCUGAGGAGGAAGCAAUAUAUUGCGCGUUCGCGUACGUGCGGCCGGCCUGAUCCAUUGCUGUCUUGCUGAUGCGCCAUGAGUCAGACUUGUGUCACCUUUGUGUUGAGUGUUGACGGAGGGGCUAGUUGUCCCUCCUCGCAGAACUCUGCGUUCAAGAAGAGUCGUGAAGGAAGGAUUGCAGCUGCAGGCCCCGCGACAAGCCGACGCCAACCGACCACGCCACCGAACGCAGAAAGGACGCAGGACUUUAUUCCGGAACCGGAAGAGGGUGGUUGGAUGCGGCGUGCCAGCACGGGGUCACGGUCGAAGCCGUCGGCGUCGGGCUGACGGGGUGGGCGGUGGUGGCACUACGCCUGGUACAGUGAUGCCAUUCAUCUUUUGUCCGAUUCCGUUUCGAGCGAAUGAUGCGACUCGGUCCUUCAGGCGUUACAUGAUGCUUGGCGCAGCAGCGGAGGGUGAUAAGAAUGGGUACGAGUGGCUCUUUGUCAGCCAUUCCCCGUAGGGAUAGGGGGGUCAGGGGUGAGAUUGAGAGAUAAAUGGAGUUUAUUUCUGUCUUGUUUGUUUGUGUCGGAUUGUAUCGAAAUCGUUCCGGCUAAUCAAAAUUUAUAUAAAUUAGAGAAGCAA